CUGACCAAUAAUGCAGUUCCCGUCUCUGCCCUCAGCCCCAGCUCUCCCUGAUGAAACUCACAAUCUAAUAGGGAAAGGUGGCUGAUAAAUAGGUGAACAAAUGCAAAUGAUAAUUUCCAAUUGGGUUAAGUAACACAGUAAAUGAGAGGGCAUUCAUGUAAGACAUCUGCAAGGAGUUGAUGGUGGAAGUGAGACCUGAAGGAUGAGGAAGAGCCUGCCAUGCACCAGGGAAGAGCCUGUUGAGGCUUCUGAGACCACAGAGCCUGGGCAUGUUGGGAAACCAGAAAAGAGCCAGGACUUGGUUUCAUCGGCUACGCAUCUGUGGGAAAAGGAUGGUUGUUUGGCUGCUGGCGUAAGGAGAAUAGUUCCCUACAGGGGGAAGAAUAAAACCGCAACUUCCAUCACAUGCAAAUGUGAACACCUGAGAGAUCCAAGACCUUGCUGUGUGAAAGCCAACAGAAAUAAAGAGUUAAUAGGAAGGAAAGGAGGGGAAUAUCUUUGUUUUGCUGGGAUGAGAAGGGUAUCUUAACAUAAUUCAAAAACAUAACCCUCAGAUGGAAACUGGGUGAAUCUGACUACAUCAAAAUCAAGAAUUUUUUUAAAGAACACUUUAGUCAAAGAAAACAGCUGGGUGAAGACUUGGAGCAGAUUUUGCAUUGUCUGAAGCCAAAAGAUAUUAUCUAGAACAAGAGUUGGCAACCUGCAGCCUAUAGGGACAAAUCCAGUUAGUUGCCUAUGUUUGUAAAUAAAAAUAAAGUUUUAAUGGAACGCA